rnacentral:tRNA from 1 species
GUGGUGUAGUGGUUAACAUGCCUGCCUGUCACGCAGGAGAUCGCCGGUUCUGCCCCGGUCGGGACCGCCA